rnacentral:rRNA from 1 species
CUCNUGAUGAUCGGUGGCGGCGUGCUUUACCAAUGCGAGUCGAACGGUACGGGGCAGCUCUUCGGAGCAGUCCACGACCGUGGCGUCCGGGUGAGUAAUACGUAGCUAACCUACCGGAUGGUGGGGGAAAACCUCGGGAAACCGAGGGUAAUCCCGCAUAUGGUCUCCCGGUUAUACGGGUGGACGAAAGCUGUUGGAAGGGAACUUUCAAUGGCGCCAACUGAGGGGGCUGCGGCCGAUUAGCUAGUUGGUGGGGUAAUGGCCCACCAAGGCUGUGAUCGGUAGCGGGUCUGAGAGGAUGAUCCGCCACACGGGGACUGAGACAUGGUCCCGAGCCCUACGGGGUUUAGCAUGGAGGAAUCUUGCGCAAUGGGCGAAAGCCUGACGCAGCGACGCCGCGUGGGGGAUGAAGGCCUUCGGGUCGUAAACCCCUUUUCUGGGGGACGCAAUUGACGGUACCCCAGGAAUAAGCCACGGCUAACUAGGUGCCAGCAGCCGCGGUAAUACCCUGGUGGCGAACGAUAUCCGGAAUUACUGGGCGUAAAGCGCUCGUAGGCGGCCUUACAGGUGUUCGGUGAAAGCCCACGGCUUACCCGUGGAUGGUCCGAGCAAACCGUUAGGCUAGAGGCAGGCAGAGGACCGUAGAACGUCCGGGGGAGUAGUGAAAUGCGUAGAUCCCGGACGGAAUAUCAGAGGCGAAGGCGACGGUCUGGGUCUGUCCUGACGCUGAGGGGCGAAAGCGUGGGGAGCAAACAGGAUUAGAUACCCUGGUAGUCCACGCUGUAAACGAUGGAUGCUAGGUGUUGUGGGGGGCUCAACCCCCCUGCGUGCCGGAGCUAACGCGGUAAGCAUCCCGCCUGGGGACUACGGUCGCAGACUAAAANU